rnacentral:rRNA from 1 species
UACGAGAGGCCCAAACGUUAUUCGGAUUUACUGGGCUUAAAGAGUUCGUAGGCGGUUCGGUAAGUGAGGCGUGAAAGCCCUCGGCUCAACCGAGGAAUUGCGCUUCAAACUGCCGGGCUCGAGGGAGAUAGAGGUGAGCGGAACUGAUGGUGGAGCGGUGAAAUGCGUUGAUAUCAUCAGGAACACCAGAGGCGAAGGCGGCUCACUGGGUCUCUUCUGACGCUGAGGAACGAAAGCUAGGGGAGCAAACGGG